GCGUCAGUCGUAAGACCUGAUGCCGCAACAUCCUUUCCAUAAGGUGUUUAUGGAGAUAUGCUUGCGGUCUUCUAAACCGCAGGUCACAGGUUCGAGUCCUGUCUGGCGUG
rnacentral:tRNA from 1 species